UUUCCGUAGUAAAUACAUAUUACAUUACCUUUUCGUGGUAAAAUUGGCUUUUGCCCGUAAAU
rnacentral:tRNA from 1 species